rnacentral:misc_RNA from 1 species
GAAAUGCGAUAAGUAAUGUGAAUUGCAGAAUUCAGUGAAUCAUCGAAUCUUUGAACGCACAUUGCGCCCUCUGACAUUCCGGGGGGCAUGCCUGUCCGAGCGUCAUUACGCACCCUCAAGCCCGGCUUGUGUGAUGGGCCCUGGCGUCUCGUUCGCGAGACGGGCCCGAAAGGCAGCGGCGGCGUCGACCCGAUGAGCCCGAGCGUAUGGGGACUUUUGUCACACGUUUGCGGUGCGGACCGGCGCCUGCUUGACUUUUCUGAUUAUCCAGGUUGACCUCGGAUCAGGUAGGGAUACCCGCUGAACUUAAGC